GGGGAUUCGGGGUUCACUGCAACCCAAUGUGACCAUACCAAACUGUUGCCUCGGCGGGGUCACGCCCCGGGUGCGUCGCAGCCCCGGAACCAGGCGCCCGCCGGAGGGACCAACCAAACUCUUUCUGUAGUCCCCUCGCGGACGUUAUUUCUUACAGCUCUGAGCAAAAAUUCAAAAUGAAUCAAAACUUUCAACAACGGAUCUCUUGGUUCUGGCAUCGAUGAAGAACGCAGCGAAAUGCGAUAAGUAAUGUGAAUUGCAGAAUUCAGUGAAUCAUCGAAUCUUUGAACGCACAUUGCGCCCGCCAGUAUUCUGGCGGGCAUGCCUGUCCGAGCGUCAUUUCAACCCUCGAACCCCUCCGGGGGGUCGGCGUUGGGGAUCGGGAACCCCUAAGACGGGAUCCCGGCCCCGAAAUACAGUGGCGGUCUCGCCGCAGCCUCUCCUGCGCAGUAGUUUGCACAACUCGCACCGGGAGCGCGGCGCGUCCACGUCCGUAAAACACCCAACUUUCUGAAAUGUUGACCUCGGAUCAGGUAGGAAUACCCGCUGAACUUAAGCAUAUCAAUAAUCGGAGGAA
rnacentral:rRNA from 1 species